rnacentral:rRNA from 1 species
CACGGAGGCCCCGAGCGUUGUUCGGAUUUACUGGGCGUAAAGCGUGCGUAGGCGGCUGGGUAAGUCAGAUGUGAAAGCCCGAGGCUCAACCUCGGAACUGCAUCCGAUACUGCCUGGCUCGAGGACUGGAGAGGAGACUGGAAUUCACGGUGUAGCAGUGAAAUGCGUGGAUAUCGUGAGGAAGACCAAAGGCGAAGGCAGGUCUCUGGACAGUUCCUGACGCUGAUGCACGAAGGCCAGGGGAGCAAAAAGG